UCCUGGUUGAUCCCGCCGGAGGUCACUGCUAUUGGGAUUCGACUAAGCCAUGCGAGUCGAGAGGGUUCGGCCCUCGGCUGACGGCUCAGUAACACGUGGAUAAUCUACCCUAAGGUGGAGGAUAACCUCGGGAAACUGAGAAUAAUACUCCAUAAGUCUAGGAUACUGGAAUGUACUUAGGCUGAAAACUUCGGUGCCCUAGGAUGAGUCUGCGGACUAUCAGGUUGUAGUCAGGGUAAAGACCUGACUAGCCUACAACGGAUACGGGUUGUGAGAGCAAUAACCCGGAGAUGAUAUCUGAGACACGAUAUCAGGCCCUACGGGGCGCAGCAGACGCGAAAACUUCACACUGCGCGAAAGCGCGAUGAGGGAAUCCCAAGUGCUUGCACGUAAGUGUAAGCUGUUUCUAUGUCUAAAACGCAUAGAGAGUAAGAGCUGGGUAAGACGGGUGCCAGCCGCCGCGGUAA
rnacentral:rRNA from 1 species